rnacentral:rRNA from 1 species
UACGUAGGGGGCGAGCGUUGUCCGGAAUCAUUGGGCGUAAAGCGCGUGUAGGCGGCUCGAUAAGUCCGGUGUGAAAACUUGGGGCUCAACCCCAAGCCUGCGCUGGAUACUGUCGAGCUCGAGUCCGGGAGGGGAGAGCGGAAUUCCUAGUGUAGCGGUGAAAUGCGCAGAUAUUAGGAAGAACACCGGUGGCGAAGGCGGCUCUCUGGAACGGUACUGACGCUGAGACGCGAAAGCGUGGGGAGCGAACAGG